rnacentral:rRNA from 1 species
CCUACGGGAGGCUGCAGUGAGGGAUAUUGGGCAAUGGGAGAGAUCCUGAACCAGCCAAGCCGCGUUAGGGGAGACGGCUCUAUGGGUUGGUAACCUCUUUUGUCGGAGAACAAAACCCGGGUUCUGUCCCGGACUGCGUGUAUCCGAAGAAAAAGCAUCGGUUAACUCCGUGCCCGCAGCCGCGGGAAUACGGGGGAGGCGCGCGUUUUCCGGAUGUAUUGGGUUUAAGGGGGGCGUAGGCGGGCCGUUAAGUCAGCGGUAAAAUUGCGGGGCUCAACCCCGUCGAGCCGUUGAAACUGGCAGACUUGAGUUGGCGAGAAGUACGCGGAAUGCGCGGUGUAGCGGUGAAAUGCAUAGAUAUCGCGCAGAACUCCGAUUGCGAAGGCAGCGUACCGGCGCCAGACUGACGCUGAGGCACGAAAGCGUGGGGAUCGAACAGGAUUAGAUACCCUGGUAGUC